rnacentral:rRNA from 1 species
UACGAGGGGUGCAAGCGUUAAUCGGAAUUACUGGGCGUAAAGCGUGCGUAGGUGGUUUGUUAAGCAAGAUGUGAAAGCCCCGGGCUCAACCUGGGAACUGCAUUUUGAACUGGCAAACUAGAGUAUUGUAGAGGGUAGUGGAAUUUCCAGUGUAGCGGUGAAAUGCGUAGAGAUUGGAAGGAACAUCAGUGGCGAAGGCGGCUACCUGGACAAAUACUGACACUGAGGCACGAAAGCGUGGGGAGCAAACAGGAUUAGAAACCCGGUAGUCC